rnacentral:rRNA from 1 species
AUUGAACGCUGGCGGCAUGCUUUACACAUGCAAGUCGAACGGCAGCACGGGUGCUUGCACCUGGUGGCGAGUGGCGAACGGGUGAGUAAUGCAUCGGAACGUGCCCAUGAGUGGGGGAUAGCCCGGCGAAAGCCGGAUUAAUACCGCAUACGCCCUUAGGGGGAAAGCGGGGGAUCUUCGGACCUCGCGCUAUUGGAGCGGCCGAUGUCGGAUUAGCUAGUAGGUGAGGUAAAGGCUCACCUAGGCGACGAUCCGUAGCUGGUCUGAGAGGAUGAUCAGCCACACUGGGACUGAGACACGGCCCAGACUCCUACGGGAGGCAGCAGUGGGGAAUUUUGGACAAUGGGGGCAACCCUGAUCCAGCCAUGCCGCGUGAGUGAAGAAGGCCUCGG